rnacentral:sRNA from 1 species
CUGGGGAGUACGCUCGCAAGAGUGAAACUCAAAGGAAUUGACGGGGGCCCGCACAAGCGGAGGAACAUGUGGUUUAAUUCGAUGAUACGCGAGGAACCUUACCUGGGCUUAAAUGUACGUCGACCGGUCUAGAGAUAGACCUUUCUUCGGACGACGUACAAGGUGCUGCAUGGUUGUCGUCAGCUCGUGCCGUGAGGUGUCGGGUUAAGUCCCAUAACGAGCGCAACCCCUAUCUUUAGUUGCUAACAGGUCAAGCUGAGGACUCUAGAGAGACUGCCACCGUAAGGUGAGAGGAAGGUGGGGAUGACGUCAAAUCAGCACGGCCCUUAUGUCCAGGGCUACACACGUGUUACAAUGGUCAGUACAAAGGGCAGCUACCUGGCGACAGGAUGCUAAUCUCUAAAACUGGUCUCAGUUCGGAUCGGAGUCUGCAACUCGACUCCGUGAAGCUGGAUUCGCUAGUAAUCGCGCAUCAGCCAUGGCGCGGUGAAUACGUUCCCGGGCCUUGUACACACCGCCCGUCAAACCAUGGAAGCUGGGGGUGCCUGAAGUCUGUUACCGAGAGGAGCGGCCUAGGGUAAAACUAGUGACUGGGGUUAAGUCGUAACAAGGUAGCCGUACCGGAAGGUGUGGCUGGAACACCUCCUUUCUGGAGCCGACAAAAACGGUAUUCAAGUUUUUCAAGAAACGAUUGUUUUUCUUGUCAUAUCAAAAAAACCUUAUAUACCCACAUGACCAAAGUGGAGAGCUUAAAGCUGAAAAUACUAAGGGUUAUGUAAUGCAAACAUAGUCCCGUAGCUCAGCUGGUUAGAGCGCUACACUGAUAAUGUAGAGGUCCCCAGUUCAAGUCUGGGCGGGACUACACUAGGUUGUAUGGGGGAUUAGCUCAGUUGGCUANAGCGCCUGCCUUGCACGCAGGAGGUCAUCGGUUCGACUCCGAUAUUCUCCCCAUAUUUAUACUGA